GACGAACGCUGGCGGCGUGCUUAACACAUGCAAGUCGAGCGGUAAGGCCCUUUCGGGGGUACGACGAGCGGCGAACGGGUGAGUAACACGUGGGUGACCUGCCCUCAGCUCUGGGAUAAGCCUGGGAAACCGGGUCUAAUACUGGAUAUGACUCCAUGACGCAUGUUGUGGGGUGGAAAGCCUUGUGCGGCUGAGGAUGGGCCCGCGGCCUAUCAGCUUGUUGGUGGGGUGAUGGCCUACCAAGGCGACGACGGGUAGCCGGCCUGAGAGGGCGACCGGCCACACUGGGACUGAGACACGGCCCAGACUCCUACGGGAGGCAGCAGUGGGGAAUUUUCGCAAUGGGGGCAACCCUGACGAAGCAACGCCGCGUGGGGAUGAAGGUCUUCGGAUUGUAAACCCCUGUCGACCGGGACGAAUGUAGAACGGCCUAAUACGCCGAGCUAUUG
rnacentral:rRNA from 1 species